GGAAAUUUUUAACUCUCUCUCAUCCUCUCUCUCUCACUCAAUUUCAGACUCUCCAUUUCUUUCCUUUCUCAAACAGCGGAAAGUUUUUGUCUCUCUCUAUCUGCUGACAAACUCUUCUCUCCAACUCCCGAUAGUCUCUCUCUCGCACUGUUCUCUCCCUACUCGCGAACUCUCAGUGGAACCAUCUUCCCUAUACUCUACGCUGGACCGCAACCUGAGCGACUUCUUGCAGCCUUGGAUGCGCGAUUCUUCUCUUGAGCUGUGGUAGGUUGCGUCUGACCACCCAAUCGAUGAAGACUAGGUUUUGUUCAACUCGCUGCUACAAGAGCUGUUGUAGGGGAUGGUUACGGUGGUCAACAAAAGUUAUUUGCCUUAUCAUUAUUGCCAGUUGAACUGAACUGAGCUGAUUCGUUUUCAAAGCAUGAUUUGAUGUGAUUUUCUUUUAGGUUUUUCUCAUCCUAUAGAAAACAACACAAUGUGUAGUAGAUUGGGUGUAAAGCACCUGGUUUCGAAUACUCCUGUGGAUAGCAGAGCUUUUGAUACGAGUUUCAUAUAUGUGAAUGUGUUGUGCUAUUUUAACUGUAACAUGAUUGUGUUGUGUUGCUGUUUCUAAGUUCUGAUGUUUUACUAAAUGAGCUAAUUUUAGAUGUCACGACGAAUGAUUGAGUUUGACAUUUAGGUACUGGGCUACUAGAAAAUCUGAUGGAUCCACAAAGAAUGGCCGAGACUUGGUCCUAUUUUUCUUCCUCUUAUUUAUGUUUUUUUAAAUUCAUUUCUUUAUAUGUGUUUUUUAUAUGAACCUCAAUUCAAGUUGCAGGAAAGUCAAGAUAGGAUAUUUGGAUGUAAGCCAUUCCCUUUUGUUUUUCAGUUUGGUUUUGUAUUCUAACAAAGGCGGAUGCCCAUAUCAGAUUCAUAACAAAAAGGAAUCAUUUUGCUAGAUAUAUUAAUUCAGCUAGACUUGGGGUGGAUGAGAAGAGUACAACAAAUACUUGGUCGUAAACCCCAACGUAAUCUGCAUGCAAUAUAUGUCCUUCACCCAACUUUUGGAAUGAAGGCUGCAAUAUUUGCUCUGCAAUUGUUUGUGGACAAUUUGGUCUGGAAGAAAGUGGUAUAUGUAGAUAGAUUACUGCAGCUCUUCAGAUAUGUUCAUCGUGAGCAGUUGUUGACCAUCCCUGACUUUGUGUUCCAUAUAGAGCUAGAAGGAAGGACACUUACACCCAAAUGGAAUUGGAUGAGGUGCGAGAAGAAUUGGCAACUCAUGUCCUAGAAUGACUUUUUGAUUGAGCUAAACAUUCCUUCAUUUUACAUGUCUUUCUAGCUAGUAUUUUGUGGUGUAGGGCUGGUAAAUUUGUGAUUUGGAUGUGACAAGUAUGGAUAAUUCAAGUAUUUUGCGCAUAUA